rnacentral:rRNA from 1 species
AUUGAACGCUGGCGGCAGGCCUAACACAUGCAAGUCGAGCGGAGCGGCGGACGGGUGAGUAAUGCCUAGGAAUCUGCCUGGUAGCGGGGGAUAACGUACGAAAACGGGCGCUAAUACCGCAUAGUAUCAGAUGAGCAUAGGUCGAAUUGGCUAGUUGGUGGGGUAAAGGCCUACAAAGGGGACGAUCCGUAACUGGUCUGAGGGGAUGAUCAGUCACACUGGAACUGAGAAACGGUCCAGACUCCUACGGGAGGCAGCAGUGGGGAAUAUUGGACAAUGGGCUAAAGCCUGAUCCAGCCAGGCCGCGUGUGUGAAGAAGGUCUUCGGAUUGUAAAGCACUUUAAGUUGGGAGGCGUUACCAACAGAAUAAGCACUGGCUAACUUCGUGCCAGCCGCCGCGGUAAUAC